rnacentral:rRNA from 1 species
GUUAUUGUUUAUUUGAUACAACAAAUGGAUAACUGUAGAAAAACUAGAGCUAAUACAUGCUUUAACCGCAAGGUUGUAUUUAUUAGAUAUUCCGGAUUGGUGAAUCAUAAUAACUUCGCAAAUCUCGUUUAUGACGAGAUAAAUCAUCCAAGUUUCUGCCCUAUCAUGCUUUCGAUGGUAGUGUAUUGGACUACCAUGGCUCUCACGGGUAACAGGGAAUUAGGGUUCGAUUCUGGAGAAGGAGCCUGAGAAACGGCUACUACAUCUACGGAAGGCAGCAGGCGCGUAAAUUACCCAAUCCUGACUCAGGGAGGUGGUGACAAGAUAUAACAACGCGAUCAAAAUCGCGAUUGUAGUGAGGGUAUUCUAAACAGAACCUAUAGUACGAUUAGAGGGCAAGUCUGGUGCCAGCAGCCGCGGUAAUUCCAGCUCUAAUAGCGUAUAUUAAAGUUGCUGCAGUUAAAAAGCUCGUAGUUGGAUUUCAAGGACUGUAGACCCCUCUGGGGAAUACAUCCUACUAGUCAUUGACUGUUACUGUGAGAAAAUUAGAGUGUUUCAAGCAGGCUUUCGCAAGAAUACAUUAGCAUGGAAUAACGAAUGUAUUUAGAAUCUUGGUUAAUUCUAAAUUACGAUUAAUAGAGACAGUUGGGGGCAUUAGUAUUUAAUUGUCAGAGGUGAAAUUCUUGGAUUUGUUAAAGACUAACGUAUGCGAAAGCAUUUGCCAAGGAUGUUUUCAUUAAUC